rnacentral:rRNA from 1 species
AUUGAACGCUGGCGGAAUGCUUUACACAUGCAAGUCGAACGGUAGAGGGGGCAACCCCUUGAGAGUGGCGAACGGGUGAGUAAUAUAUCGGAACGUGCCCAGUCGUGGGGAUAACGUAGCGAAAGCUACGCUAAUACCGCAUACGAUCUACGGAUGAAAGCGGGGGACUCGCAAAGAGCCUCGCGCGAUUGGAGCGGCCGAUAUCAGAUUAGGUAGUUGGUGGGGUAAAGGCUCACCAAGCCAACGAUCUGUAGCUGGUCUGAGAGGACGACCAGCCACACUGGAACUGAGACACGGUCCAGACUCCUACGGGAGGCAGCAGUGGGGAAUAUUGGACAAUGGCGAAAGACCUGAUCCAGCAAUGCCGCGUGAGUGAUGAAGGCCUCGGUGUAA